UAUGACAGAACUGUGGGGACACGUAAGGAAAGCGGAAGCCGGGAAUGGAAAGCCCGGUGCAAGCGGGGUACCAGUCACUUAGGAAAAUCCGGGUGGCAAUGGGAAGCCGUGAUGCGGAGCGAAAUACAAGUAGUGAAGUCCGUGAGCCAUGCGUCAAGAAAAGCCGCUAUUGUUUAUACCGUACCCGUACCGUAAACCGACACAGGUGGAUGAG
rnacentral:rRNA from 1 species